rnacentral:rRNA from 1 species
AUGAACGCUAGCGACAGGCUUAACACAUGCAAGUCGAGGGGCAGCACAGGUAGCAAUACCGGGUGGCGACCGGCGCACGGGUGAGUAACGCGUAUGCAACUUACCUAUCAGAGGGGGAUAACCCGGCGAAAGUCGGACUAAUACCGCAUGAAGCAGGGGCCCCGCAUGGGGAUAUUUGCUAAAGAUUCAUCGCUGAUAGAUAGGCAUGCGUUCCAUUAGGCAGUUGGCGGGGUAACGGCCCACCAAACCGACGAUGGAUAGGGGUUCUGAGAGGAAGGUCCCCCACAUUGGUACUGAGACACGGACCAAACUCCUACGGGAGGCAGCAGUGAGGAAUAUUGGUCAAUGGCCGAGAGGCUGAACCAGCCAAGUCGCGUGAGGGAUGAAGGUUCUAUGGAUCGUAAACCUCUUUUAUAAGGGAAUAAAGUGCGGGACGUGUCCCGUUUUGUAUGUACCUUAUGAAUAAGGAUCGGCUAACUCCGUGCCAGCAGCCGCGGUAAUACGGAGGAUCCGAGCGUUAUCCGGAUUUAUUGGGUUUAAAGGGUGCGUAGGCGGCCUUUUAAGUCAGCGGUGAAAGUCUGUGGCUCAACCAUAGAAUUGCCGUUGAAACUGGGGGGCUUGAGUAUGUUUGAGGCAGGCGGAAUGCGUGGUGUAGCGGUGAAAUGCAUAGAUAUCACGCAGAACCCCGAUUGCGAAGGCAGCCUGCCAAGCCAUGACUGACGCUGAUGCACGAAAGCGUGGGGAUCAAACAGGAUUAGAUACCCUGGUAGUCCACGCAGUAAACGAUGAUCACUAGCUGUUUGCGAUACACUGUAAGCGGCACAGCGAAAGCGUUAAGUGAUCCACCUGGGGAGUACGCCGGCAACGGUGAAACUCAAAGGAAUUGACGGGGGCCCGCACAAGCGGAGGAACAUGUGGUUUAAUUCGAUGAUACGCGAGGAACCUUACCCGGGUUUGAACGCAUUCGGACCGAGGUGGAAACACCUUUUCUAGCAAUAGCCGUUUGCGAGGUGCUGCAUGGUUGUCGUCAGCUCGUGCCGUGAGGUGUCGGCUUAAGUGCCAUAACGAGCGCAACCCUUAUCGAUAGUUACCAUCAGGUCAUGCUGGGGACUCUAUCGAGACUGCCGUCGUAAGAUGUGAGGAAGGUGGGGAUGACGUCAAAUCAGCACGGCCCUUACAUCCGGGGCGACACACGUGUUACAAUGGCGUGGACAAAGGGAGGCCACCUGGUGACAGGGAGCGAAUCCCCAAACCACGUCUCAGUUCGGAUCGGAGUCUGCAACCCGACUCCGUGAAGCUGGAUUCGCUAGUAAUCGCGCAUCAGCCAUGGCGCGGUGAAUACGUUCCCGGGCCUUGUACACACCGCCCGUCAAGCCAUGGGAGCCGGGGGUACCUGAAGUCCGUAACCGAAAGGAUCGGCCUAGGGUAAAACUGGUGACUGGGGCU